rnacentral:tRNA from 1 species
GGGUCGGUAGCUCAGCUGGGAGAACGCUUGGUUCGCAAUCAGGAGGUCAGGGGUUCAAUUCCCCUUCGAUCCA